UGUCUGGAGGGGAAAUGAAAACUCUUUUCUGCUUAAUGAAUGCAGUAAGUGGACGGAAGCCUGAGUUCCCAGCACUCCAUUAGCAAGCCAGCCAGCCAGCCAGUAUGUUGGUGUUUGAUCUUAUGCCUAUCACUUCAUGGUCCCAAGAUUGUUUGUAAAGUUCCAGACAUCACACCUAUAUCAUCC
rnacentral:lncRNA from 1 species